UACGAAGGGGGCUAGCGUUGCUCGGAAUCACUGGGCGUAAAGGGUGCGUAGGCGGGUCUUAAGUCAGGGGUGAAAGCCUGGAGCUCAACUCCAGAACUGCCAUUGAAACUGUGAGACUUGAGUACGAGAGAGGUGAGUGGAAUUCCCAGUGUAGAGGUGAAAUUCGUAGAUAUUGGGAAGAACACCAGUGGCGAAGGCGGCUCACUGGCUCGGUAACUGACGCUCAGGCGCGACAGCGUGGGGAUCGAAACAGG
rnacentral:rRNA from 1 species